rnacentral:tRNA from 1 species
UGGGCCAUCCUGGACUUGAACCAGAGACCUCGCCCAUUAUCAGGGGCGCGCUCUACCACUGAGCUAAUAGCCC